GACGAACGCUGGCGGCGUGCCUAAUACAUGCAAGUAGAACGCAGUUGCGAACGGGUGUGUAACGCGUCUGUAACUGCCCCAUAGCGGGGGAUAACUUUUGGAAACGCUAGCUAAAACCGCAUACUGUGAGCUGGACCUGCGUUGUAGUAGCUAGUUGGUGCGGUAAAGGUUCACCAAGGCGACGAUACAUAGCCGGCCUGAGAGGGUGAACGGCCACACUUGGAAUGAGACACGGGCCAGGCUCCUACGGGAGGGAGCAGUAGGGAAACUUCGGCAAUGGACGGAAGUCUGACCGAGCAAAGGCGCGGGAGGGAAGAAGGUUUUCGGGUCGUAAAGCUCUGUUGUUAGAGAAGCGGUAACUAAACAGAAAGGAACGGCUAACUACGUGCCAGCAGCCGCGGUAAUUC
rnacentral:rRNA from 1 species